rnacentral:rRNA from 1 species
GGUUAAGCGACUAAGCGUACACGGUGGAUGCCCUGGCAGUCAGAGGCGAUGAAGGACGUGCUAAUCUGCGAUAAGCGUCGGUGAGGUGAUAUGAACCGUUAUAACCGGCGAUUUCCGAAUGGGGAAACCCAGUGUGUUUCGACACACUAUCAUUAACUGAAUCCAUAGGUUAAUGAGGCGAACCGGGGGAACUGAAACAUCUAAGUACCCCGAGGAAAAGAAAUCAACCGAGAUUCCCCCAGUAGCGGCGAGCGAACGGGGAGGAGCCCAGAGCCUGAAUCAGUGUGUGUGUUAGUGGAAGCGUCUGGAAAGGCGUGCGAUACAGGGUGACAGCCCCGUACACAAAAAUGCACAUAUUGUGAGCUCGAUGAGUAGGGCGGGACACGUGGUAUCCUGUCUGAAUAUGGGGGGACCAUCCUCCAAGGCUAAAUACUCCUGACUGACCGAUAGUGAACCAGUACCGUGAGGGAAAGGCGAAAAGAACCCCGGCGAGGGGAGUGAAAAAGAACCUGAAACCGUGUACGUACAAGCAGUGGGAGCCUCUUAAUGGGGUGACUGCGUACCUUUUGUAUAAUGGGUCAGCGACUUAUAUUCUGUAGCAAGGUUAACCGAAUAGGGGAGCCGAAGGGAAACCGAGUCUUAACUGGGCGUUAAGUUGCAGGGUAUAGACCCGAAACCCGGUGAUCUAGCCAUGGGCAGGUUGAAGGUUGGGUAACACUAACUGGAGGACCGAACCGACUAAUGUUGAAAAAUUAGCGGAUGACUUGUGGCUGGGGGUGAAAGGCCAAUCAAACCGGGAGAUAGCUGGUUCUCCCCGAAAGCUAUUUAGGUAGCGCCUCGUGAAUUCAUCUCCGGGGGUAGAGCACUGUUUCGGCAAGGGGGUCAUCCCGACUUACCAACCCGAUGCAAACUGCGAAUACCGGAGAAUGUUAUCACGGGAGACACACGGCGGGUGCUAACGUCCGUCGUGAAGAGGGAAACAACCCAGACCGCCAGCUAAGGUCCCAAAGUCAUGGUUAAGUGGGAAACGAUGUGGGAAGGCCCAGACAGCCAGGAUGUUGGCUUAGAAGCAGCCAUCAUUUAAAGAAAGCGUAAUAGCUCACUGGUCGAGUCGGCCUGCGCGGAAGAUGUAACGGGGCUAAACCAUGCACCGAAGCUGCGGCAGCGACACUAUGUGUUGUUGGGUAGGGGAGCGUUCUGUAAGCCUGUGAAGGUGGCCUGUGAGGGUUGCUGGAGGUAUCAGAAGUGCGAAUGCUGACAUAAGUAACGAUAAAGCGGGUGAAAAGCCCGCUCGCCGGAAGACCAAGGGUUCCUGUCCAACGUUAAUCGGGGCAGGGUGAGUCGACCCCUAAGGCGAGGCCGAAAGGCGUAGUCGAUGGGAAACAGGUUAAUAUUCCUGUACUUGGUGUUACUGCGAAGGGGGGACGGAGAAGGCUAUGUUGGCCGGGCGACGGUUGUCCCGGUUUAAGCGUGUAGGCUGGUUUUCCAGGCAAAUCCGGAAAACCAAGGCUGAGGCGUGAUGACGAGGCACUACGGUGCUGAAGUGACAAAUGCCCUGCUUCCAGGAA